rnacentral:rRNA from 1 species
UACGUAGGGUGCGAGCGUUAAUCGGAAUUACUGGGCGUAAAGCGUGCGCAGGCGGUUCGCUAAGACCGAUGUGAAAUCCCCGGGCUUAACCUGGGAAUUGCAUUUGUGACUGCACGGCUAGAGUGUGUCAGAGGGGGGGUAGAAUUCCACGUGUAGCAGUGAAAUGCGUAGAUAUGUGGAGGAAUACCGAUGGCGAAGGCAGCCCCCCUGGGAUAACACUGACGCUCAUGCACGAAAGCGUGGGGGAGCAAACAGG